UUUGAACUGGUAGGCUGUGAGAUCACACUAUAUCAAAUGGUCGAUUCCAUGUCUCACAAGCACACUCAUACUUGCACAUUUCACUCUAUAUAACAUUUUUGAAACCUUCUGACAAAUAGUUGCGUGCCUUUGUAUUUGUGAGAAAAGUCCCUUUCCAAAUGUUACGCAUCUUUCGCUAACCUCAUCGCCGUGCGCGUGCCGAACGUCGACCAAACAAUUCGAGACGAACCUCACAACGGCAUCCGCAAACCGUGCAAAUCCAGACGGAAAAUCCGCCCCAUCCGGAGGAAAACAACAAAACGAGUCGUAUUAUUGAAGGUGACUGAUCCAGAAAAAAAAACGAGAGCGAGAAGUCCGCAUCGACGACAUUGGCAGGAAAAAGCAGCCCUCGGAGCCAGUGACGGAACCCGCAGAAGUCGGAAAACUGCCAGGACAGGAGCCCCGCACUCAGCUGCACUGGACGGAGACACCAAGAAAUAAAAACAAAUCAUUCGGCUGCCAAUCUUGACGGAAUAACAAAGGUUGUGGGAAACUCAGUAUUCGGACUAUUGACAACGAUGACCCGCGUCCCGCCGAUGUGGUAGCCCACCAGCAGCCCAACGUCACCACCGUCAACCCGGAGACAAACAACCUAUGGAAUCUGGACCAGCUGUCGAAUCCCUCCACUGAAUCGACUGUCGAAUCGACUAUGGGGGUCAACACCAUCGGCCAACUGCAGGCGGCCGCCCCGGUCCGCCCACCACGGCCACGGCCACGACCACGACGACGGCUCACAGCUGCAACCCCACCACCAUCAGCCCACGAUGCUCGAAACAGCACUGCCAAGCUACAACCGCUGCGGCCCCACGGGGUGGACGCAAUCCAGCCCGGCUACCCCUUGCCUCGAACAAACAACAACCAGCAGCAAACCCACCUACACAACGCAUCAAGUGAGAACAUAUCACUGAGCCAUCGCAGGAACCAACCGAAUCAUCGGACGCCAGUACGAGCAUAGAGUACGCGUCCGGAGUGAACGCCCGGAUGCAGUGGGUCCCCACGAAGAACGCCGAUCCCGAGAAGAGCAUCAUCCGAC